ensembl:snoRNA
AAACUGGAUAUUGAAUUUGCUUAUCUGUAUGUGUUUCUACAGAAAUUUAGAAAAAGCUGUCAAUAGUGAUGCCACUACCAUGUUACAAGCCUUUAAGACAUCAAAUUCAUUAAGGUCCCUGAAAAUGACUACAAAU